CCCUUAGAUGUCCUGGGCCGCACGCGCGCUACACUGAGUGUCUGAGAUACGAGUCUGCCUGGUCCGGCAAGGUCUAGGUAAUCGCUAAAAGACACAUCAUGCUUGGGAUAGAUUAUUGCAAAUAUUAAUCCUGAACGAGGAAUUCCUAGUAAGCGCAAGUCAACAGCUUGCGUUGAUUACGUCCCUGCCCUUUGUACACACCGCCCGUCGCUACUACUGAUUGGAUGUUUAAGCGAGGUUCUCGAACUGCUAGCGACUUAGCUUCGGUGAGGUCGCAGUGUGGGAAGUGAACCGAGCUUUGGUGUCUAGAGGAAGUAAAAGUCGUAACA
rnacentral:rRNA from 1 species